AAUAUUGGACAAUGGGGGCAACCCUGAUCCAGCCAUGCCGCGUGUGUGAAGAAGGUCUUCGGAUUGUAAAGCACUUUAAGUUGGGAGGAAGGGCUUGAGGUUAAUACCAUGAAGUUUUGACGUUACAAACAGAAUAAGCACGGGCUAACUCUGUGCCAGCAGCCGCGGUAAUACAGAGUGUGGAAGCGUUAAUGGGAAUUACUGGGCGUAAAGCGCGCUUUGUUGGUUCAGUAAGAUGGGUGUUAAAUCCCCGGGCUUAACCUGGGAACUGCUUUCAUAACUGCUGAGCUAGAGUACGGUAGAUGGUAGUGGAAUUUCCUGUGUAGCGGUGAAAUGCGUAGAUAUAGGAAGGACCACCAGUGGCGAAGGCGACUACCUGGACUGAUACUAACACUGAGGUGCGAAAGCGUGGGGAGCAAACAG
rnacentral:rRNA from 1 species